AGCGAACGCUGGCGGCAGGCCUAACACAUGCAAGUCGAACGCCCCUUCGGGGGAGUGGCGGACGGGUGAGUAACGCGUGGGAAUGUGCCCUUUGGUACGGAACAACUGAGGGAAACUUCAGCUAAUACCGUAUGUGCCCUACGGGGGAAAGAUUUAUCGCCAUUGGAGCAGCCCGCGUUGGAUUAGGUAGUUGGUGGGGUAAUGGCCCACCAAGCCGACGAUCCAUAGCUGGUCUGAGAGGAUGAUCAGCCACACUGGGACUGAGACACGGCCCAGACUCCUACGGGAGGCAGCAGUGGGGAAUCUUGCGCAAUGGGCGAAAGCCUGACGCAGCCAUGCCGCGUGUAUGAUGAAGGUCUUAGGAUUGUAAAAUACUUUCACCGGGGAAGAUAAUGACGGUACCCGGAGAAGAAGCCCCGGCUAACUUCGUG
rnacentral:rRNA from 1 species